rnacentral:RNase_P_RNA from 2 species
AGUUUCUGGUGAUCGCGGUUCGCCUUUGAGCGGACUGAGGAAAGUCCAAGCUUGCACAGACUGCGAUGUCUGUAGUGAUCGUGCUCGCUGAAAAAAUAAGGCGAGGUACCAUUUGGUAAUGGCAAACAAACGGGCUAAGGCUUUGGCUAUGCUCUAGUAGUUUUGAAAAGUGCCACAGUGACGAAGCAAUAUUGGAAACAGUAUUGAUGGAACGCGGUAAACCCCACGAGCAGGUAACCCAAAUUAUGGUAGGGGCGCUUCAUGCCGGAAAUGAACUAAGCAUGGGGGCAGGCAAUUUGCCUGGAGAUAGAUGAUCGCCACCUUGUUUGAUAUCUCCUGGAUCAUUCAAGGGACGGAACGUGGCUUAUAGAG